UUGUUGUGAUGACUACAACUUGGGGCACCUUUGGAGUUUAUCAUGAAAACACUACUUUGUCGGAGCAAC